GAUGAACGCUGGCGGCGUGCUUAACACAUGCAAGUCGAACGGGGAACCUUUUAUUGAAGCUUCGGCAGAUUUAGAUUGUUUCUAGUGGCGGACGGGUGAGUAACGCGUGGGUAACCUGCCUUAUACAGGGGGAUAACAGUCAGAAAUGACUGCUAAUACCGCAUAAGCGCACAGAGCUGCAUGGCUCAGUGUGAAAAACUCCGGUGGUAUAAGAUGGACCCGCGUUGGAUUAGCUAGUUGGUGAGGUAACGGCCCACCAAGGCGACGAUCCAUAGCCGGCCUGAGAGGGUGAACGGCCACAUUGGGACUGAGACACGGCCCAGACUCCUACGGGAGGCAGCAGUGGGGAAUAUUGCACAAUGGGGGAAACCCUGAUGCAGCGACGCCGCGUGAAGGAAGAAGUAUCUCGGUAUGUAAACUUCUAUCAGCAGGGAAGAAAAUGACGGUACCUGACUAAGAAGCCCCGGCUAACUACGUGCCAGCAGCCGCGGUAAUACGUAGGGGGCAAGCGUUAUCCGGAUUUACUGGGUGUAAAGGGAGCGUAGACGGAUGGACAAGUCUGAUGUGAAAGGCUGGGGCUCAACCCCGGGACUGCAUUGGAAACUGCCCGUCUUGAGUGCCGGAGAGGUAAGCGGAAUUCCUAGUGUAGCGGUGAAAUGCGUAGAUAUUAGGAGGAACACCAGUGGCGA
rnacentral:rRNA from 1 species